UACGUAGGUGGCAAGCGUUAUCCGGAAUUAUUGGGCGUAAAGCGCGCGUAGGUGGCCCCAUAAGUCCGCUGUGAAAGUCAAAGGCUCAACCUUUGAAAGCCGGUGGAUACUGUGGGACUAGAGUACGGAAGAGGCGAGUGGAAUUCCUGGUGUAGCGGUGGAAUGCGCAGAUAUCAGGAGGAACACCAAUAGCGAAGGCAGCUCGCUGGGACGUUACUGACACUGAGGCGCGAAAGCGUGGGGAGCGAACAGG
rnacentral:rRNA from 1 species